UACAGAGGGGGCAAGCGUUGUUCGGAAUUACUGGGCGUAAAGGGCGCGUGGGCGGCCAACUAAGUCAGACGUGAAAUCCCCAGGCUCAACCUGGGAACUGCGUCUGAUACUGGAUGGCUUGAAUUCGGGAGAGGGAUGCAGAAUUCCAGGUGUAGCGGUGAAAUGCGUAGAUAUCUGGAGGAAUACCGGUGGCGAAGGCGGCAUCCUGGACCGACAUUGACGCUGAUGAGCGAAAAGCUAGGGGGAGCAAACGGGG
rnacentral:rRNA from 1 species